rnacentral:rRNA from 1 species
CACCGCGGUUAUACGAGGGACCCAAGUUGAUAGUCUUCGGCGUAAAGAGUGGUUAAGGGUUUUUACAAAACUAAAGCUAAACGACUUCAAAGCUGUUAUACGCGCAUGAAGAUACGAAACCCAACCACGAAAGUGACUUUAAACCCCCUGACUCCACGAAAGCUAUGGAA